UAAGCAUAUCAAUAAGCGGAGGAAAAGAAACCAACAGGGAUUGCCCUAGUAACGGCGAGUGAAGCGGCAUCAGCUCAAAUUUGAAAUCUGGCUCUUUCAGGGCCCGAGUUGUAAUUUGCAGAGGGCGCUUUGGCGUUGGCAGCGGUCCAAGUUCCUUGGAACAGGACGUCACAGAGGGUGAGAAUCCCGUACGUGGUCGCUGGCCUUCGCCGUGUAAAGCCCCUUCGACGAGUCGAGUUGUUUGGGAAUGCAGCUCUAAAUGGGAGGUAAAUUUCUUCUAAAGCUAAAUACUGGCCAGAGACCGAUAGCGCACAAGUAGAGUGAUCGAAAGAUGAAAAGCACUUUGGAAAGAGAGUCAAAUAGCACGUGAAAUUGUUGAAAGGGAAGCGCUUGCAGCCAGACUUGCCUGUAGUUGCUCAUCCGGGCUCUUGCCCGGUGCACUCUUCUGCGGGCAGGCCAGCAUCAGUCUAGGCGGUUGGAUAAAGGCCUCUGUCACGUACCUCCCUUCGGGGUGGCCUUAUAGGGGAGGCGUAAUGCAACCAGCCUGGACUGAGGUCCGCGCAUCUGCUAGGAUGCUGGCGUAAUGGCUGUAAGCGGCCCGUCUUGAAACACGGACCAAGGAGUCUAACAUCUAUGCGAGUGUUUGGGUGUCAAGCCCGAGCGCGUAAUGAAAGUGAACGGAGGUGGGAUCCCUUUAGGGUGCACCAUCGACCGAUCCUGAUGUCUUCGGAUGGAUUUGAGUAAGAGCAUGGCUGUUGGGACCCGAAAGAUGGUGAACUAUGCUUGAAUAGGGUGAAGCCAGAGGAAACUCUGGUGGAGGCUCGCAGCGGUUCUGACGUGCAAAUCGAUCGUCAAAUUUGGGCAUAGGGGCGAAAGACUAAUCGAACUAUCUAGUAGCUGGUUCCU
rnacentral:rRNA from 1 species